AGCCUACUCUUGGCUUGCAUAAACCCCGGACAAGGAAAUUGAUACCUUGUCCAAGUGUCCACUGUGCCACUGGGUACAAAAACGCGCUUCAAGUUGUUAAGAAUAGUUUAUGUUGGUCACCUUCCAAGGAGUCCCUCUGAAAUACUGUAAAUUUUAAGAGGAACAAAUAUUACAUCCGCUAUGGCGAGGACACCAAUACGGACAGUGACAUUCAUCAACUCCAGACAGUAUCGCUUCCAGAAAACAAGGUUCACUCUAGUUGCCAGAGGUGUUGCAGCUGUUCGAAAGGUUGUCCUUUUUGAUUGCCACACUACAAGUCUUCUCAACAGUUCUGUUUGAACAGACCACAAUCCCAGGAGGGGGAUCAGAGAAGUAUUGCAACGUUGCCAGGAUUUCUAAAAAGCUUGGGUAGCCUAUUAUUGCUUGCGGGCGUGUCCCAAUUUUACUCACAAUUCCAUAUCAGGACGUGCGGAUAGAAACUAAUUUCCUAACAACUAGCUUUAUGGAUGAAGUCCAGGUUUUUCUACAUCAUGGUUCUGCUCACAGGAGGUCUCGCUAUGAACGAAGGAAAAAACGAUUCGUGCUCCAACUACACUCAGUCGAUGUGGAUGGUGCAAGAUGCUGAAUGGAAGUUGUCAAUGAGCAGUUUAAGACGGAGAACCUCAGCACUAUUUUCAAAUCUGUGGAGAAACGAGAAAGGGUUCUUGGAAACACAGCAUUGAAUGAGACGACUUCAAUCAUUGUUGAGAGGCUUGUGGCCCAUAUAUUCAGGGCCGAGGGCAAGUUUACUGGGCUUAAUAUAUUUGCCACUCGAGAAGGGGCAAGAUGACAGUGACCCACAAUGCAAUAAUUGAGGAAGUUUAGACACAGUUUUUUGAAAACCACGUGCAGUUUGGCAUUUAUUGGGAAUGGGAUGAAUGUUGUCCUGUAGGCAGUUCUGCAGAGUGGUCACUAGCUGCCUUAGCCAUACAAAGUUAUAAAAUCUGACUUUAAGUCUCCCUAAUAUUAACCCAAACCUUAACCACACUGCUAACCGUAUGCCCUAACCUUAAAUUUGUUUUUAUAAAACAUUUUACGAUAUAGCCAAUUUGACUUUGCGGCUGGCCCAUCUAGCGGAAAGCGCUUAGCUCGGCCUCCGUGACAAGAUUCAUCUCAAUAAACUUCAAACCUGCAAACUGCGUCACAUGCAAAUACAUUUGAAGUCGGAGGUUUACAUACACUUAGGUUGGAGUCAUUAAAACUAGUUUUUCAACCACUCCACAAAUGUCUUGUUAUCAAACUAUAGUUUUGGCAAG